AUUGAACGCUGGCGGCAUGCCUAACACAUGCAAGUCGAACGGGGCAGCAAUGCCUAGUGGCGGACGGGUGAGGAAUACGUAGGAAUCUGCCCUUAAGAGGGGGAUAACCAGGGGAAACCCUGACUAAUACCGCAUAAUCUCUUCGGAGCAAAGAGGGGGACCGCAAGGCCUCUCGCUUCUGGAUGAGCCUACGUCGGGUUAGCUAGUUGGUAGGGUAAAGGCCAACAAAGGCUACGUACAGUAACCGGUCUGAGAGGAUGAUCAGGCACACCGGCACUGAGACACGGUCCGGACUCCUACGGGAGGCAGCAGUGGGGAAUAUUGGACAAUGGGCGCAAGCCUGAUCCAGCAAUGCCGCGUGUGUGAAGAAGGCCUUCGGGUUGUAAAGCACUUUAGCCUGGAAAGAAAAAACUUUGGUUAACACCCAAAGUCUUGACGGUACCAGGAGAAUAAGCACCGGCUAACUCUGUGCCAGCAGCCGCCGUAAAAC
rnacentral:rRNA from 1 species